UUUCCUAAGGCCAGCGAGAGAACUAUUGUUAAGGAACUCGGCAAAAUGACCCCGUAACUUAGGGAGAAGGGGUGCCUGUCUAUGACAGGCCGCAGAGAAUAGGCCCAAGCGACUGUUUACCAAAAACACAGGUUUCUGCUAAGUCGCAAGACGAUGUAUAGGAGCUGACGCCUGCCCGGUGCUGGAAGGUUAAGGGGAUCUGUUAGAGCAAUCGAAGCAGUGAACUUAAGCCCCAGUAAACGGCGGCCGUAACUAUAACGGUCCUAAGGUAGCGAAAUUCCUUGUCGGGUAAGUUCCGACCCGCACGAAAGGCGUAACGAUUUGGGCACUGUCUCAACAAUAGACUCGGUGAAAUUGUAAUCCCGGUGAAGAUGCCGGGUACCUGCGACAGGACGGAAAGACCCCAUGGAGCUUUACUGUAGCUUGACGUUGGGUCUUGGUACUACAUGUACAGGAUAGGUGGGAGACUAUGAAGCAUGGACGCCAGUCUGUGUGGAGUCAUCCUUGGGAUACCACCCUUGUAGUACUGGGAUCCUAACCAUAGGCCUUGAAUCAGGUCUUGGAACACCGUCAGGUGGGCAGUUUGACUGGGGCGGUCGCCUCCUAAAAAGUAACGGAGGCGCUCAAAGGUUUCCUCAGCACGGUCGGAAAUCGUGCGAAGAGUGUAAAGGCAAAAGGAAGCUUGAUUGCAAGACAUACAGGUCGAGCAAGGACGAAAGUCGGACUUAGUGAUCCGGUGGUACCGCAUGGAAGGGCCAUCGCUCAACGGAUAAAAGCUACCCUGGGGAUAACAGGCUUAUCUCCCCCAAGAGUCCACAUCGACGGGGAGGUUUGGCACCUCGAUGUCGGCUCAUCACAUCCUGGGGCUGUAGUAGGUCCCAAGGGUUGGGCUGUUCGCCCAUUAAAGUGGUACGCGAGCUGGGUUCAGAACGUCGUGAGACAGUUCGGUCCCUAUCCGUCGCAGGCGUGGGAAAUUUGAGAAGACCUGUCCUUAGUACGAGAGGACCGGGAUGGACGUACCUCUGGUGUACCAGUUGUUCUGCCAAGGGCAUGGCUGGGUAGCUAUGUACGGAAUGGAUAAGCGCUGAAAGCAUCUAAGCGCGAAGCCAACUUCAAGAUAAGAUUUCCCACCGUAAGGGUAAGACCCCAGGAAGACUACCUGGUUGAUAGGUCGAAGGUGUAAGUGCAGUAAUGUAUUUAGCUUAUCGAUACUAAUAGGUCGAGGACUUGACC
rnacentral:rRNA from 1 species